rnacentral:snoRNA from 1 species
AUGCCAUGAUGUGGAUACUUAACUAACAUACCUUUGAAUCUCUCCCACGUUUCUUGUAAUGUUUCAGUUGGUUUCUACUUGAAGCUCAAUAUCUCAAUAACCUGCUU